CGCGUAGGCGGUCCGUUAAGUGUGAAGUGAAAUCUCCAGGGCUCAACCCGGAAACUGCUUUACAUACUGGCGGACUGGAGGGAUGCAGAGGUUUGUGGAAUUCCUGGUGUAGCGGUGAAAUGCGUUGAUAUCAGGAGGAACACCCAUGGCGAAGGCAGCAAACUGGGCAUCAUCUGACGCUGAGGCGCAAAGCGUGGUAGCAAACA
rnacentral:rRNA from 1 species